rnacentral:rRNA from 1 species
AGCGGCGGACGGGUGAGUAAUGCUUAGGAAUCUGCCUAUUAGUGGGGGACAACAUUCCGAAAGGAAUGCUAAUACCGCAUACGCCCUACGGGGGAAAGCAGGGGAUCUUCGGACCUUGCGCUAAUAGAUGAGCCUAAGUCAGAUUAGCUAGUUGGUGGGGUAAAGGCCUACCAAGGCGACGAUCUGUAGCGGGUCUGAGAGGAUGAUCCGCCACACUGGGACUGAGACACGGCCCAGACUCCUACGGGAGGCAGCAGUGGGGAAUAUUGGACAAUGGGCGGAAGCCUGAUCCAGCCAUGCCGCGUGUGUGAAGAAGGCCUUAUGGUUGUAAAGCACUUUAAGCGAGGAGGAGGCUACCUGGAUUAAUACUCUGGGAUAGUGGACGUUACUCGCAGAAUAAGCACCGGCUAACUCUGUGCCAGCAGCCGCGGUAAUACAGAGGGUGCGAGCGUUAAUCGGAUUUACUGGGCGUAAAGCGUGCGUAGGCGGCUUAAUAAGUCGGAUGUGAAAUCCCCGAGCUUAACUUGGGGAUUGCAUACGAUACUGUUAAGCUAGAGUAUGGGAGAGGAUGGUAGAAUUCCAGGUGUAGCGGUGAAAUGCGUAGAGAUCUGGAGGAAUACCGAUGGCGAAGGCAGCCAUCUGGCCUAAUACUGACGCUGAGGUACGAAAGCAUGGGGAGCAAACAGGAUUAGAUACCCUGGUAGUCCAUGCCGUAAACGAUGUCUACUAGC